GGACCGUCGGUCUACCGAGCAAUAUCACCGGCUCGGUGGAAGAUCUUCC
rnacentral:pre_miRNA from 1 species